UCACAAUCAUUUAUGAUGGGAUCUGAUGCCA
rnacentral:piRNA from 1 species